UUAAAAAACCAAGAAGAAACAAAAAUCAAGAAAAAGAAACAUCCCCUCCUCCCCGUUUCCCCCCUGCGCAGGUCGGAGGACGCUCAAGAAAUCUCGUACUUUGCAAUGAUAAGCCUAGUCGUUAAAUCUGUAAGAGAAAUAUGGCCCUGUCGUUGACCCAACAAUGAAGUGAAGCACUUGUUUUUCACACCAGGAAGCUGAGAGACAGACCGUAUAUAUUGGGGAAAAAAAAAAUCUCUUUGGGAGGGCGUCAAUAAUUCACAACAACCCCAAACCUAAAUAAAUAAAAAUCAAGGAGAAGGCCGAUAUCAACCUACCCUCCACCCACGGAACCCAUUCCAAUCAGCAUUAAGAGGCUAGAUCUACUUUGCAAAGUCGUACAUGUAUUCGUCUUUCGGCUGAGCCUUACGUUUUUAUGAUUUGACGACCAAAAGUAUGGAAACGCACCAGGAUGAGUAACGUCUCGCUGUCAAUCGUAUGUACUCACUGUUCACAAUCCAGGCCUUCAUGAGCGUUUAUUUAAUGCCUGUUAACAUUCCUUCCCCUGGCCUGACUCUCAGGCCUUCAUGUUCUACCUUUUAAGCACUUAAAACAGGUCUCCGUUUUGGUCAGUGGACUGUUUUGUUUAUUUUUUCCCAUUUAUCUCGGUUUUAUUUUUGUUCUGGUUUUAUUUUAUACUUUUUUUUUUCUUGUUUUCUCAUGCAUAAUAAUAUCUACUCACUGACUGUAUCUAUAUAUUACACCAUCUGGUGUCAAACCACUUAAUAAAAGUAACAUAACAUUACAAAGAGAAAGCGUUUUUACAUUAUGAGCAGGUAUGUAUGAUUUUUUUACGUUCUAUAUUUGCAUGUAAUCUGCAUAUGUAGAUCUGGAGCGCCAGUGGUUAUAAUGUGAAAUCGUCCUGCUGAACCCGUAUCGGCAGCAUUAUUGGGGAAUUCGACCCAAAAAAUUGAAAUGACUUUCAACGAAAAGAAAGUGGCCUGUAUUUUUUUUAUUUUUUUUUUAACUACUAGCUACUCAAAUCGAAAACCGAUGUAGUUCGGUUGCCUCCUUUGAGACAAAACUAGGCUUUCCUCCAGUCAAUCAAAGUUAACAGAUCACAUCCUGAUGUUGUAGAUGCUCCUUGUGCUCAAUUCAUUGCGCACAACUAAACGUAUAUCGCGUGGAAUUUGAUCUAAAUGGAUUUAUCUCGCAUCAGGAUGCGGUUUAAAGAAACCGGUGACAACAUGCAGCUGGUGUGCUGCUGAAUUUUGACAUGCGGCUGGAAAACUGAUGUCAAGAUGACAAACGUAACUUAACGGUUGACGAGUACAAAGUUGUUGUUCUAGCUGAUUGUGACGCUCUUUAAAUCUGGGAACUGAGAGGUCGGAUGCGUACUCACAGACCUUGUUCCUUGUUAAAUGAUGAGGAUGCUAACAUUGUGAAAGUGUACACUUGUUUGAUUAUUUUUGACCAAAGUUAAAUAAAAUUUUAAUUGUUUAUCUGAAUCGACACACUGCCCGACACUUAUUUUUGAUUUGGGGGGGAGUGGUUAAAGU
rnacentral:lncRNA from 1 species